CUGUAAUACAAUUUUAUAGUGAACUGCUGCCGUUUACUGGCUGCCAAUUUGUUAAUUAGGUUGGCAGCCAGUAAACAAUGCGGACACUUUUUGACGCUGAGUGUCCCUACAGUUGUCUUCCUAUACUGCGGCACAGUGGUGGGACUUUCAUCGCUGUAAUCUAGGGGUUCAAUUCCUGCAAUUUUCUGCAGUUGUUUGAUUGUAAAUAAUCCACUACAAGUUUUCUCCAUAGAUAUCUAUGGUUUUCUCAGAAUGUGAAUUCAGGGGGGGGGGGAUGAAAAUUGAUUACAGACACAUAGAAUCCCAUCAUGCAUCACAACAGAUCUCUUUUCCAAAAACUGAUCUAUAUAUGCCACUGAUAUGUGCCAAAAACAAGCUGUCCAUAUGCUGUAGCCACCUCACAAAAUCUUUCAAUUCUGCGAUAUUGCUACCAUAUUCCCAGUUUGUAUUCUCCAGCGAACGAAAAUAUCUUGUAUUUGCCAAACGCCAGCUCAAAUCUGCCAGCUUGUCAUCCUCGAAUUGAAUAGGAGCCAUUUCCUCGAUAUUUAUAUCGCUGAUGUUCGGUAGACUGGCAGGAGCUUCCUUGGACGGACCCCACCAUUCGUGCGUGGCAACAGGUGGACUUAUGAAUGUAUUCAUCGCACGAAAUCCCAAAAUUAUUGCCAGAAUUAUUGCCAGAAUUAAAACGAAGACACUCGAUACAAUUACAGUCAGCAAUUUCAUCGUUGCGCCUUUCGGAAAGAACACGAAAUAUAACAAUUAACCCUUUAAGCCUUUAAGCGGCAGUGUAGCAGAUCUGCUACAAAUAGAAAAGUGC